AGGAUGAACGCUGGCGGCGUGCUUAACACAUGCAAGUCGAACGAUGAAGGCUGGAGCUUGCUCUGGCUGGAUUAGUGGCGAACGGGUGAGUAACACGUGAGUAACCUGCCCCAGACUCUGGGAUAAGCGCUGGAAACGGCGUCUAAUACCGGAUACGAGCUUCCACCGCAUGGUGAGGAGCUAGGAAAGAAUUUCGGUCUGGGAUGGACUCGCGGCCUAUCAGCUUGUUGGUGAGGUAAUGGCUCACCAAGGCGACGACGGGUAGCCGGCCUGAGAGGGUGACCGGCCACACUGGGACUGAGACACGGCCCAGACUCCGUACGGGAGGCAGCAGUGGGAAUAUUGCACAAUGGGCGCAAGCCUGAUGCAGCAACGCCGCGUGACGGACGAAGGCCUUACGGGUUCGUAAACCUUCCGUUUUAAGGUAAGGAAGUAAGACGAAAGUGAACGGUACCUGACAAGAAAAGCAACCGGCUAACGUACGUGACCGAGUACGCCGACGUAAC
rnacentral:rRNA from 1 species